UUAGGCGCAAACUAUCAUAGCAAUAGACAUUUGAUCCUUGGUACAGAUUUCUUAGCAUUUGUUUGCGUGUAGCUACAUCUCUCUCAGCCACUUCAUUCGGAUCAACAAUAUGUCUAGGUCUCUUACGCUGAUACCAGUGCACAAUCAUGCUCAUGACAGCAGAAACAAAUAAAGCAGCCACCCUUUUUCUCUUUUUCCUACUCAUCUCUCUCAUUUGCUCCAUGCUUGUAUUAACCAAGUCUAUGUUGUUGUCAGGCAUCUAAAGCACAUAUGCAAAAAGGAAUAUUUUAAUUUAUCAUCAAAAUGCUACACUAUUUUGGAUAAUCAGUAAC
rnacentral:lncRNA from 1 species